AUAGGAGGCUUGUUGCCUUGCUUGGAAGAAGGAAAACUUGUUUGUAUGGUGUGUGUCAUUGCUAAUAAUCACAUUAGGCAACCCCAGGUGCUUUAAAUAAGCUGCUGUGGGUGUGGUCUGGUUUUGCUACCUCCAGACUUGCUAUCCCUACCCAUAGUUAUCACACUGCCGCUUGAGUGAUUUAUUAUUUUGGGCUAAAUUUAAGCAAGGAACAGAUGACUGACUAGAUCCAGGUGAGCCAAAGAACCCCUGAAAGCCAGCAGGCCUCCCAAGCAACACCUUCCCGUUGCCUGCUCCGCAAGGCGUGGCUGUGCAGGGCUGCCAAGGAGCUGACUUCAUUCACAGGGAACUGACAUCAGUCCGAGAUGUUCUUCUGCGGGAGGAAUUUGUAUCUCCCUGCUGCUGCCUGCAUCCUUACCUUCAUCUCCGUGGUUAUGCUGUCUUACCUAAGUACACCAAGACACUCUGCCAUCCCAAAAAUAAUACAAGGCAGCAACUGUAGAGGACGCACUGUCAACAGCACGAUCACAGCCUUGGAGGAUAACAGAACCUUUAUCGUAGCCCCGUACUUUGAUAACAGAGAGAGCAAAAUCACCCGAGUGAUUGGGAUUGUUCACCAUGAGGAGGUGACGGCACUUUACUGCUGGUUCUGCUGCCAGCCCGAAGGGGAAAUACACGUAUCUAGGGGACACAUUGAUGUCCAUUUGGAUCGAUUUGACUUCCCGUACGGUGCAGCAGACCUGCUCUGUGCAGAACCCCCCACCUGUGAUCCGAGCUAUGUGUCGAUUCACUCAUUCUCUAAUGGAAAUAUUGAACAGCUGCCCAGAUUUGAAAUAAAGAACCGCAAGCCUGAGCCCUUUUCUGCUGACUUCACCGUGUGCAUCUCAACCAUGUUUGGAAACUACAACAAUGUCUUACAGUUUAUACAGAGCAUGGAGAUGUACAAAAUUCUUGGGGCCCAGAGAGUGGUGAUCUAUAAGAACAGCUGCAGCCCCCUGAUGGAGCAUGUCCUGGCCUUCUACAUUGCAGAAGGGACCGCCGAGGUCAUUCCCUGGCCCAUCACCUCCCACCUCAAGGUGUCUCCUCACUGGCGCUUCCCGAAGGAUGGGACGCACAUCGGUUACUACGGACAAAUCACCGCUCUCAAUGACUGCGUGUAUCGCAACAUGUACCGGAGCAGGUUUGUGCUGCUCAAUGAUAUCGAUGAGAUUAUUCUGCCCGCGAAGCACCCGGAUUGGAAAACCAUGAUGAGGAGUCUUCAGGAGCAGAAUCCAGAAACGGGCGUUUUCCUCUUUGAGAAUCACAUCUUCCCCAGCACCGUGUUCACUGCCACCUCCACGGACCAGAUGGACACUUCAUCGUGGCAUGCUGUGCCCGGAGUGAACAUACUGCAGCAUAUGCACAGGGAGCCUGACCGGAAAGAUGUCAUCAACCCUAGGAAAAUGAUAGUUAAUCCAAGGAAGGUGAUUCAGACUUCAGUCCACUCUGUCCUGAGGGCCUACACUGACAGUGUGAAAGUUCCUUUGGAGGUUGCCCUUGUCUACCACUGCCGGGGACCGCUGCAAGGGCAGCUUCCCAGAGAAUCGCUGAUUCGGGAUACGACGCUCUGGAAAUACAACUCCUCCUUAAUCUUGAAUGUUAACAAUGUGCUACUGCAAACUGUGUUUUAGGGCAACACUAUAGCUAUGGUAGAAAAGCUGCUAGAUUCCUAAGGGACAGGUAGGAACCACUAUGAUAAUAGAUAACUACAUGUAAAGAUUUCCAUGCAGAUCUGCCAGAACAGUCCCUGAACAUACCAGGUAUAGGGAAAUGCAUUUUAACCAUGACCUAAAUUUGUGGUAACUGUUUACAAUACACAAUAAAAUAUGAAACCAUAGUAAAGAAUAUUUCAAUGAGUUCUCUAAUACGAUAAAUACUAAGACACCUGGUAUAGUGAGGAAGAGGCAGACAUGGUCUUGCAGCUCCAUACGCUUGCAGCUGUUGAAAGGUACUGAAUUGCGACAUACACUUAUGGCUCCAUCAUGACAUAUCUGCAAAUCUCUAUCUGUGAUGGCUAAAGAGCAAAUGGAUGGAGUUUGUGGUGCUCAGUAUGGACAAAUGUUCCUUUGAAGGUGGUUACUACGCCCAGGCUUAGAUAGCAGCCACCCUGGCAAUAAAAGAAGGAACUCUGCAAGUAAGGCUCAGAUCACAGAAGCUGAGGAUGCAAGCAGAGAAAGCAAUGCACUUGCAAGACCUGGCAUUUCUUUUUGCUACACAGGCUUUGCAGUAGAGUGGCAGCCAGUUGAUGACGCUGAAAUCAGGCACAGGGAAUGGAGGCUAUUCUGAAAACACCAAAGCUGGAUUUGUUUCCAGUAAACUUGUUCCAGUUAUAAAUUUGGGUCAACUGAUUAUCAUGUAAACUUUCCAAACAUUUUCAAGCAUGGGUUGAAUUAUAACUACAGUAAUUUAGCUACUAACAUCUGUGCUGCCAAAUAAUUCCUAGUUUGCAUUUAAAAACCUGUGGAAAAAAUAUCCAAAUUUGAUUUUUCAUAUCAAAAUAAGAGUAGAAAGUUAAGAGAAGUGUGAAAGUAACAAAGCCCAUGUUUAUUCUUGCAAACAGCAGCAUUUGUACAAAUGCUGGUCGCUAUGUUUUGUUACACUAAAAAUACUUCACUUUGUUUGAAUAAGCAAUAAAAAACCCCAAACAGGCCGUGGAUGAAGGUGUGAAGGGGGAUAUAAUCUGAAAGUUAGAAGGCAGGCUUUCAGGGUGGCCACCCACAGCUGCUCUGAAUUACUUAAGAGGAGAGGGUUGAUUUUUUUUAAAAGCUGCUCAGUUAUAAAGGCUGAUAAGGGAGGAGGCUCAUGUUAGCAGAGUGAAGACUGUUCUUAGCUGGAAGAAAGCAGAGGCUCUUGACUGCUUAUCGUGUAAUUUUCCACAAUCUUGAAUCCUUUCAACUUGGAUUGUUCUUUCAUUUGCCAAAAUCAGACAUGAGGUGGAUACCAGGUCUUGUUCUUUGUAAACUGGGGCUACAAACAGUCCACAUACCUCUAUGAAAGCAUAAUGCUUGAGACACGGUACAGUUAUGUAUCUAAUAUAGGAACAAAUGAAACAGGAAUUGGUUCCGAUCUUCCUACAGAAAUGCAGCUCGACAUUCUGAGAUGCUUUUGCUAAAUUCCUUCAUUUUGUGGCUGCAGUCUUUAUGAAGGAAGGGGCAGGCAGCACCACCAGGGAGUGAUACAGGCAAGCAGUCACGGUAAGUAGUUUAUAAGCCUUGAAACAGACAUUUAAGGUACUCAGAGGACUGCACUGGCCUACAGACAUAACGCACAUCAUAACAGUUUGCCAUGUUCCACUGUGUGAAGCAGACCAUCCUCCACCCUGCCCCCUUUAUGGUGACUGUAUGUUAUAAACACCAACUGGUUAACUUGAGCAAAGCACCUGAACGGGGACAGCAUUCCCUUUCUGUGGGGUAGAACAGCACUUUUGUAUUCCUGAAUGCAGUUGCCAUUUCCAAGCACUGUACGCAGUUCUGUUAGUUUUACCCUCUUGCUGAACAUAAUUACAAGGGCAUUAAAUCUCCUUGCUCCUUUUUACUGAAGGGACCGGUAAACUUAGAGAUGCCUCCAUGAUCGUUGUGGAUACCUUUACGCAACUUACUUUACACCAAUGGUGUUGUUUUAGGUUGGAUAAAGCACAUCAUACUGCUGUGAAGUAAAUGGCAAGCUGGGGAAAAUGAGAAAUACUUAAGCAUCAUAAAAUAUCCAGAGGUUCCUACCUGUA